rnacentral:rRNA from 1 species
UACGGGGGGGGCAAGCGUUGUUCGGAAUUACUGGGCGUAAAGGGCUCGUAGGCGGCCAACUAAGUCGGACGUGAAAUCCCCAGGCUCAACCUGGGAACUGCGUCCGAUACUGGAUGGCUUGAAUCCGGGAGAGGGAUGCAGAAUUCCAGGUGUAGCGGUGAAAUGCGCAGAUAUCAGGAGGAACACCGGUGGCGAAGGCGGGUCUCUGGGCCGAAACUGACGCUGAGGAGCGAAAGCGUGGGGAGCAAACAGG